rnacentral:rRNA from 1 species
CUGGCCCGUCUUGAAACACGGACCAAGGAGUCUAACAUAUGUGCGAGUGUUUGAGUGUUAAACUCAGGCGCGUAAUGAAAGUGACUGUUUGUUCGGCAAACUGAGGUGGGAACCUGUUAUGGGGGCACCAUCGACCGAUCAUGAUCUUCGGUGAAAGAUUUGAGUUUGAGCAUAGAUGUUGGGACCCGAAAGAUGGUGAACUAUGCCUGAAUAGGGCGAAGCCAGGGGAAACCCUGGUGGAGGCUCGUAGCGGUUCUGACGUGCAAAUCGAUCGUGAAAUUUGGGUAUAGGGGCGAAAGACUAAUCGAACCAUCU